rnacentral:rRNA from 1 species
UACGUAGGUGGCAAGCGUUGUCCGGAUUUACUGGGCGUAAAGGGAGCGUAGGCGGAUACUUAAGUGGGAUGUGAAAUACCUGGGCUUAACUUGGGUGCUGCAUUCCAAACUGGGUGUCUAGAGUGUUGGAGAGGAAAGUGGAAUUCCUAGUGUAGCGGUGAAAUGCGUAGAGAUUAGGAAGAACACCAGUGGCGAAGGCGACUUUCUGGACAAUAACUGACGCUGAGGCUCGAAAGCGUGGGGAGCAAACAGGAUUAGAUACCCUGGUAGUCCACGCCGUAAGCGAUGGGUACUAGGUGGAGGAGGGAUCGACUCCUCCUGUGCCGACGUUAACACGAUAAGUACCCCGCCUGGGGAGUACGGUCGCAAGAUUAAA